rnacentral:piRNA from 1 species
CCGGAUGAGGACAGCAGCAGCUACAGCU